AAAGAAUUAAUUAAAUUAUAAUAUUAAUAUGUCAUAUUAAAGUUAUUAGUUAUUUAAAUCUAAUAUUCUUUU
rnacentral:tRNA from 1 species